rnacentral:rRNA from 1 species
GAAUUUUGGACAACGGGGGCAACCCUGAUCCAGCCAUCCCGCGUGUGCGAUGAAGGCCUUCGGGUUGUAAUGCACUUUUGGCAGGGAAGAAAAGGCUCUGGCUACUACCUGGAGCUGCUGACGGUACCUGCAGACUAAGCACCGCCUAACUACGUGCCAGCCGCCGCGGUAAUACGUAGGGUGCAAGCGUGAAACGGCAGUACUGGGCGUAAGGCGUGCGCAGGCGGUUCGGCAAGAAGGAUGUGAAAUCCCAGGGCUUAACCUUGGAACUGCAUGCUUAACUGCCGGGCUAGAGUAUGUCAGAGGGGGGUAGAAUUCCGCGUGUAGCAGUGAAAUGCGUAGAGAUGCGGAGGAAUACCGAUGGCGAAGGCAGCCCCCUGGGAUAAUACUGACGCUCAUGCACGAAAGCGUGGGGAGCAAAC